CAAAAAGGCAAAUAAGCAUAAUCUCCUUUCCCAAAGCUUCCCCACCAUCACUUCUUUUCAUAGUGUCUGGCCUAUCAAUAUGCUUCAAAUAAGCUCAUUUGCUUCUGUAGUGAACGUGUUUUGCAAGUGUGCAAUACGUGCGUUCUUUGCUCACGGAAUUUUGGCUGUGUACAGAGGGGUUCGAUGAGUAGCAAAUUUAUCAAGGAAGAGGAGGGACCUGUCGGUACCAGAAGCGUGGUAAAAUGCUGCUGUGUGUCAGGAGCCCAGCUGUUGCUCAACUUUCUGAAAGAAUCCUAAGGCAGCCUGUGCUUACCUUGAUGACUCAGGAAGAGGUCAGCAAAGCAGAGCUUCUGGAAGACCUUUAUUAGAGAAGAGGUGAGGAAGAGGGAUCCCACGCGUCCCGUGGCAGAUGUAGGUAGCAGCAACCAAGGACUGAGGAGUGACAGGCUGCAGAGGUGGGUGUGAGCAUUAGCAUAAGCAUGAAACUGAGCUGGAGAAGGAUUUCAGUGGUAGGGAAUGAAGAACACAGUGCACACUGCAAAGCCUUUCCAACAGAUACGAUUCCUGAUAAUCUCCUCUGCUCCCAAUGGUAGAUUCAUACCCGGUCCAUCUUUGGCUCGAGUACAAAAAUAAGAAUGCUUUUCCUCCUCCUCGGUUCCUAAUGUAUGACUUUGUGGUAGUGCAAAGCGGUCAGGGGAGCGGCCAAAAUAGCUGCUGAGUGGGAGGGAGCAGCUACAGGGGCAGCUCGUGUGCGAGGCCAGGCCCUGCGGCACAGCGCCUAUGGCUGGGACUGACCCUGCCGGGGGACGUGUCGGACCCACGCCGCCUCCCCUUGGGCCCCUUUCCCGGCUGUCACAACCCAAGUCCCAAAGCUGCUGCAGCUCUGGUCUGGGGACUUCCCCAGCUGGGUGAUGGCUGAGCCAGGGGGUUCGGAACGCGUGAAGCAUUCGGGCCAGCGAGGGCGGUACGGGAAGACUGGGAGCCGAAUAUGAGACCCGAUCCGUAUCAGCUCGUCGCUCCGGGUUUUUGCCGCAGCCACCUCCAGCGCUCCGGCUCCAGCGGCG
ensembl:lncRNA